rnacentral:rRNA from 1 species
AGCGAACGCUGGCGGCAGGCUUAACACAUGCAAGUCGAGCGGGCGUAGCAAUACGUCCGCGGCAGACGGGUGAGUAACGCGUGGGAACGUACCUUUUGGUUCGGAACAACACAGGGAAACUUGUGCUAAUACCGGAUAAGCCCUUACGGGGAAAGAUUUAUCGCCGAAAGAUCGGCCCGCGUCUGAUUAGCUAGUUGGUGAGGUAACGGCUCACCAAGGCGACGAUCAGUAGCUGGUCUGAGAGGAUGAUCAGCCACAUUGGGACUGAGACACGGCCCAAACUCCACGGGGGGGCAGAGGGGGGAAAAGUGGGAAAGGGGGGGCAACCAUGGCCCACCCAGGCGGGGGGAGGGAAAGGGGCCAUGGGGUUAAAAAACUUUUUUUGGGGGGAAGAUAAUGGCGGACCCAAAAGAAUAACCCCCGGCUAACUUG